rnacentral:pre_miRNA from 1 species
UCUCAUGCUUUUCCACGGCUUUCUUGAACCUGGUGCUCUUCCAAGGCAGGAGGAUCAGAAAACGUUGUGGUAUUUCUCAUCUCCUCGUCUCGUCCUUGGUCUCCCCUUGAAAGAAACUCACCAGUAAGAGUACGAAGUUCAAGAAAGCUGUGGGAAACAAUGGCCGGA